rnacentral:tRNA from 1 species
UGGCGCGUAGCUCAGAUGGUAAGAGCACUCGGCUGAUAACCGAGAGGUCGGCAGUUCGAGUCUGCCUGCGCCAACCA